GGGACACGUGGUAUCCUGUCUGAAUAUGGGGGGACCAUCCUCCAAGGCUAAAUACUCCUGACUGACCGAUAGUGAACCAGUACCGUGAGGGAAAGGCGAAAAGAACCCCGGCGAGGGGAGUGAAAAAGAACCUGAAACCGUGUACGUACAAGCAGUGGGAGCCUCUUUUAUGGGGUGACUGCGUACCUUUUGUAUAAUGGGUCAGCGACUUAUAUUCUGUAGCAAGGUUAACCGAAUAGGGGAGCCGAAGGGAAACCGAGUCUUAACUGGGCGUUAAGUUGCAGGGUAUAGACCCGAAACCCGGUGAUCUAGCCAUGGGCAGGUUGAAGGUUGGGUAACACUAACUGGAGGACCGAACCGACUAAUGUUGAAAAAUUAGCGGAUGACUUGUGGCUGGGGGUGAAAGGCCAAUCAAACCGGGAGAUAGCUGGUUCUCCCCGAAAGCUAUUUAGGUAGCGCCUCGUGAAUUCAUCUCCGGGGGUAGAGCACUGUUUCGGCAAGGGGGUCAUCCCGACUUACCAACCCGAUGCAAACUGCGAAUACCGGAGAAUGUUAUCACGGGAGACACACGGCGGGUGCUAACGUCCGUCGUGAAGAGGGAAACAACCCAGACCGCCAGCUAAGGUCCCAAAGUCAUGGUUAAGUGGGAAACGAUGUGGGAAGGCCCAGACAGCCAGGAUGUUGGCUUAGAAGCAGCCAUCAUUUAAAGAAAGCGUAAUAGCUCACUGGUCGAGUCGGCCUGCGCGGAAGAUGUAACGGGGCUAAACCAUGCACCGAAGCUGCGGCAGCGACGCUUAUGCGUUGUUGGGUAGGGGAGCGUUCUGUAAGCCUGUGAAGGUGUACUGUGAGGUAUGCUGGAGGUAUCAGAAGUGCGAAUGCUGACAUAAGUAACGAUAAAGCGGGUGAAAAGCCCGCUCGCCGGAAGACCAAGGGUUCCUGUCCAACGUUAAUCGGGGCAGGGUGAGUCGACCCCUAAGGCGAGGCCGAAAGGCGUAGUCGAUGGGAAACAGGUUAAUAUUCCUGUACUUGGUGUUACUGCGAAGGGGGGACGGAGAAGGCUAUGUUGGCCGGGCGACGGUUGUCCCGGUUUAAGCGUGUAGGCUGGUUUUCCAGGCAAAUCCGGAAAAUCAAGGCUGAGGCGUGAUGACGAGGCACUACGGUGCUGAAGCAACAAAUGCCCUGCUUCCAGGAAAAGCCUCUAAGCAUCAGGUAACAUCAAAUCGUACCCCAAACCGACACAGGUGGUCAGGUAGAGAAUACCAAGGCGCUUGAGAGAACUCGGGUGAAGGAACUAGGCAAAAUGGUGCCGUAACUUCGGGAGAAGGCACGCUGAUAUGUAGGUGAAGUCCCUCGCGGAUGGAGCUGAAAUCAGUCGAAGAUACCAGCUGGCUGCAACUGUUUAUUAAAAACACAGCACUGUGCAAACACGAAAGUGGACGUAUACGGUGUGACGCCUGCCCGGUGCCGGAAGGUUAAUUGAUGGGGUCAGCGCAAGCGAAGCUCUUGAUCGAAGCCCCGGUAAACGGCGGCCGUAACUAUAACGGUCCUAAGGUAGCGAAAUUCCUUGUCGGGUAAGUUCCGACCUGCACGAAUGGCGUAAUGAUGGCCAGGCUGUCUCCACCCGAGACUCAGUGAAAUUGAACUCGCUGUGAAGAUGCAGUGUACCCGCGGCAAGACGGAAAGACCCCGUGAACCUUUACUAUAGCUUGACACUGAACAUUGAGCCUUGAUGUGUAGGAUAGG
rnacentral:rRNA from 1 species